rnacentral:rRNA from 1 species
GACUACUAUCCAGGAACUCUCCAUCGGGCCUGGUUAGUACUUGGAAGGGAGACUGCCUGUGAAUACCAGGUGCUGUAAGCU